AUCCUCUUAUCAUUCAUAGGUGUGAUGAUUAGGUGUUCGUGCUAUUGUGUGGCAUGUUCCUCCCUCAAACCUUGUUAUGAACUGAGCACAUUCCCUAUCUGAUG